UACGAAGGGGGCUAGCGUUGCUCGGAAUCACUGGGCGUAAAGGGUGCGUAGGCGGGUCUUUAAGUCAGGGGUGAAAUCCUGGAGCUCAACUCCAGAACCUGCCUUUGAUACUGAGGAUCUUGAGUACGGGAGAGGUGAGUGGAACUGCGAGUGUAGAGGUGAAAUUCGUAGAUAUUCGCAAGAACACCAGUGGCGAAGGCGGCUCACUGGCCCGUUACUGACGCUGAGGCACGAAAGCGUGGGGAGCAAACAGGG
rnacentral:rRNA from 1 species